AUCCAACGGAAGAGUCCCAAAUAGGACGAAACACGAGGUUCUGGAU
rfam:Schistosoma curassoni strain Dakar, Senegal genome assembly, scaffold: SCTD_scaffold0000069